GCCGACAUGGUGGAAUUGGUAGACACGCACGGUUCAGGGCCGUGUCGCCGUUAGGCGGUGAGAGUUCAAUUCUCUCUGUCGGCA
rnacentral:tRNA from 1 species